UACAGAGGGUGCAAGCGUUGUUCGGAAUUAUUGGGCGUAAAGGGCGCGUAGGCGGUGCGGUAAGUCCGCAGUGAAAUCUCUGGGCUCAACUCAGAGUCUGCUGUGGAAACUGCCGUGCUUGAGUGUGGGAGAGGUGAGUGGAAUUCCCCGGUGUAGCGGUGAAAUGCGUAGAUAUCGGGAGGAACACCUGUGGCGAAAGCGGCUCACUGGACCACAACUGACGCUGAUGCGCGAAAGCUAGGGGAGCAAACAGG
rnacentral:rRNA from 1 species